UGGGGAAUAUUGCACAAUGGGCGCAAGCCUGAUGCAGCCAUGCCGCGUGUAUGAAGAAGGCCUUCGGGUUGUAAAGUACUUUCAGCGAGGAGGAAGGCGUUGUGGUUAAUAACCGCAGCGAUUGACGUUACUCGCAGAAGAAGCACCGGCUAACUCCGUGCCAGCAGCCGCGGUAAUACGGAGGGUGCAAGCGUUAAUCGGAAUUACUGGGUGUAAAGCGCACGCAGGCGGUCUGUCAAGUCGGAUGUGAAAUCCCCGGGCUCAACCUGGGAACUGCAUCCGAAACUGGCAGGCUAGAGUCUUGUAGAGGGGGGUAGAAUUCCAGGUGUAGCGGUGAAAUGCGUAGAGAUCUGGAGGAAUACCGGUGGCGAGGGCGGCCCCCUGGACAAAGACUGACGCUCAGGUGCGAAAGCGUGGGGAGCAAACA
rnacentral:rRNA from 1 species